rnacentral:rRNA from 1 species
GUAUCAUGGCUCAGGAUGAACGCUAGCUACAGGCUUAACACAUGCAAGUCGAGGGGGCGAGCAGUGGUCUUAGCUUGCUAAGGCUGAUGGCGACCGGCGCACGGGUGAGUAACACGUAUCCAACCUGCCGUCUACUCUUGGCCAGCCUUCUGAAAGGAAGAUUAAUCCAGGAUGGGAUCAUGAGUUCACAUGUCCGCAUGAUUAAAGGGUAUUUUCCGGGUAGACGAUGGGGGA